GACGAACGCUGGCGGCGUGCUUAACACAUGCAAGUCGAACGAAGAGCGAUGGAAGCUUGCUUCUAUCAAUCUUAGUGGCGAACGGGUGAGUAACGCGGUAAUCAACCUGCCCUUCAGAGGGGGACAACAGUUGGAAACGACUGCUUAAUACCGCAUACGAUCUAACCUCGGCAUCGAGGAUGGAUGAAAGGUGGCCUCUAUUUAUAAGCUAUCACUGAAGGAGGGGAUUGCGUCUGAUUAGCUAGUUGGAGGGGUAACGGCCCACCAAGCGAUGAUCAGUAGCCGGUCUGAGAGGAUGAACGGCCACAUUGGGACUGAGACACGGCCCAGACUCCUACGGGAGGCAGCAGUGGGGAAUCUUCCGCAAUGGACGAAAGUCUGACGGAGCAACGCCGCGUGAGUGAUGACGGCCUUCGGGUUGUAAAGCUCUGUUAAUCGGGACGAAAGGCCUUCUUGCGAACAGUUAGAAGGAUUGACGGUACCGGAAUAGA
rnacentral:rRNA from 1 species